UACGUAGGGGGCAAGCGUUGUUCGGAAUUACUGGGCGUAAAGGGCGCGUAGGCGGCACAGCAAGUCGGGAGUGAAAGCCCGGGGCUCAACCCCGGAAUGGCUUUCGAAACUGCUGAGCUAGAGUACAGAAGGGGCAACCGGAAUUCCCAGUGUAGCGGUGAAAUGCGUAGAUAUUGGGAAGAACACCUGAGGCGAAGGCGGGUUGCUGGGCUGAUACUGACGCUGAGGCGCGAAGGCCAGGGGAGCAAACGGG
rnacentral:rRNA from 1 species